rnacentral:tmRNA from 1 species
GGGGGUGACUGGAUUUGACAGCGAGCCGAGAUGGUACGUAAGCAUGCGGAGUGACGGCUGUAUACUCCAUAAUCCAUUCGGUCGAACAAUUAAUUGGCGAAAACAAGUACGCUCUCGCUGCCUAAUCGAAGUACAGUAGAUUACUGGCUUUAUUCUCCUACCAGGUAGGAGAACGAGACAUCGCUCCAAAGAUCUGGUUCCGAAUCUGAGGGUCAAGCGGUGCAGGUUAAAUCGGAAAUAGUCUCUCGGGCGCUCCGAUUGGGAGAUGAAAAUUUAGGAGAUAAGGUCGUGAUUGGUGGCUUGGGUCUUGUCACGGCACGAAAAUGAAGGCCAAGAUAAGCAUGUAGAAAGCGUAUGGUUUCCUCGUGUGGACGAGGGUUCGAUUCCCUCCACUUCCACUU